UUUUGUGCUUCCGGAAUUUCACGUUUUCCACAAGCCGGUUAUUUUACUCUACAAAAUGUUUAAAAAGUACAGUGACAAAGAACAUUCGCCGUCGGUGAAUAACAUGAAGUCGUCGGUCCAACGAGGAGUUCGAGCGAAGGUUAUCACCCAGUUUCCGUUCAUAGAAGAUUAUAUUGAUGAAAUAUUACCGAAGAAGGAAACUUUGAAAUUGGUCAAAUUGCCUGAUCAUAUUGAAUUAGUAGCAAGUCAGGCUGGCCAGCCUUUAUUCUUCAAACAUAGGGAUGGAGAUUAUUAUCCUACACUCAGAAUUCUUCAUAAAUAUCCGUUUAUGUUACCUCACAUGCAAGUGGACAAGGGCGCCAUCCGGUUCGUCCUCUCAGGUGCUAACAUCAUGUGUCCUGGUCUGACGUCCCCCGGAGCCAGGAUGACCAUGGUCAAUGAGGGAACAGUGGUUGCUGUAAUGGCGGAAGGAAAGGAACAUGCGUUAGCUGUGGGACUGACGACGAUGUCAUCAGAAGAUAUAUUAUCAAAAAACAAAGGAAUAGGAGUGGAAUGUGCACAUUUUUUGAAUGAUGGACUUUGGAAGAUGAAACCGCUCAGAUAGACUCGUACAGUAAAUCGUCACUUCUUGGACAAAGACCUCAGACAGAUGUGGUUGUGACAGAAUGUGUGUUUGGGAGGAUGGCAUUAGAAAGAACUUUCUCAAGUCCUUUUAAACAAUGCUCAGGGUUAGAGCUGCGGCAAAUAUAAUAAUAUCAAACCAUUGAUUAUCAUAGAAUAUUUAUUUAUCAGUUUGAGUAGCUUUGCUUUUGGUCUAAGAAAAGAGGACAUGUUUGUAUUUAUGUGCUGUCGUUCAGCUUGUCCCCAUUUUAUCGGGCAAGCAAUGGCGGUGGGUUGCUCUGUAAACUGGUAUCUAUUUUCUGUUUUGUUUCUAUCCAUUUUGUCUGUACCUUGAACCCAUUUCAAUAUUUUUGGGAGAACGGAGAUUUGGAAGGACAAACUAUCUCAUUUGGUUCAAUCCAGAUUACCAUUGGGUAUCCAUAUAGAGGGACUGGGAUGAAUUACCCUCUGUGUCGCUUGUAGGAACACAGUGCAGGUGGUUAAGUCCAGGUUUACAGAGAGUUAACAAUUUUAAGAACUGACAAGUGAUUUCCAAUGAGCAGGCUACCUUGUCAAGACAUGUCAUGGCUGUCAGGUGGUGCAGUGCAAACAUCACCUGUCACCACUGAGGUCCCAGGUUCAAUUCCUGGUCAGUCCCGGAACACUUAUGUAAUGGAGAGGUUGACUUCCUUCGUCGGGGUAGGUUUUCUCCAGUUGUGAUGCGACAUCGCAAUUUCCCCACUUGCUUUUAGGAAUGAAUGUCUCUUGUCAAAGUUGAUAUACACAGUAGAACCUCUCUAUUAAGGACACCCUCGGGACUGACAAGUGCUGUCCUUGAUAGAGAGGUGUCCUGAUUAGAGAGGUCAAAUUGAAUGGAAACAGCCAAUUUGGGACCAAAACCAGUGUCCUUAAUAGAGAGGUUGUCCUUAAUAGAGAGGUUGUCCUUAAUAGAGAGGUGUCCGCUAAGGGAGGUUCCCCUGUAUUGAUAUUGACAUCACUUCCGUGUGGAGUGAUAUGUUAUUAUUAUUGUGCUGCAUGACGAAUCUUUAUUAAAGUAAUGUAAA